GUGUGUGUGGUGUAAAACAACACCUUAACUUUUCAAGUUAAUAUUAUACUAAGUAUCACACACA
rnacentral:tRNA from 1 species